AAAGUUCCUGCAACCUGGGGAGAUACCAUGAUCAUGAAGGUGGUUUUCCCAGGGCGAGGCUUAUCCAUUUCUCUCUGGAUGUGCUGACCCCUGUGAUUUCCCCAAAUGUGGGAAACUUGACUGCAUAAUUUGUGGUAGUGGGGGACUGUGUUUGUGCUCCCCUA
ensembl:snRNA U1 U1 spliceosomal RNA